rnacentral:tRNA from 1 species
AAGGAGUUAGUUAAAAUAUAACAUUAGAAUGUCAAUCUAAAAUAACUACUAAUAGUACACCUUG